rnacentral:misc_RNA from 1 species
UACAGUUUUCAACUCUUCCCGUGGGGUUUGACUUUUGGCUUCUUUAGAGAUUAAUUUUCUGACCCCGCUCAACUCCAAUGCUGGGUGGUCUCCACCAAGCAUUAGAAAGCAAAGCCUCAAUUCAAUCCUUCUAAGAAGAGGCUGCGCUGCUACCAGUUCAGUUUCGGGAAAAGUUCAUGAUUCGUUUCAUAUCAUGAGAGAGAGCUCUUCCAGCCUAGCCCCCGUAGCUUGGUGUCACAAGGCAUUUCUCGAAACCUAAUCAGACCAUGUUCGAGGCUCCCCUCCCCCUUUUCCCUGCACCUUGACGACAAAAAAAAGAGAGAGCUCUUCCAACUUUCCAAUUUUCUGCGGCGAAGCUUCCUCGAUGCUUACG